AUUGAACGCUGGCGGCAGGCCUAACACAUGCAAGUCGAGCGGAGCGGCGGACGGGUGAGGAAUGCCUAGGAAUCUGCCUGGUGGUGGGGGAUAACGUCCGGAAACGGGCGAUAAUACCGCAUACUAUCAGAUGAGCCUAGGGCGGAUUAGCUAGUCGGUGGGGUAAAGGCCUACCAAGGCGACGAUCCGUAACUGGGCUGAGAGGAUGAUCAGUCACACUGGAACUGUGACACGGUCCAGACUCCUACGAGAGGCAGCAGUGGGGAAUAUUGGACAAGGGGCGAAAGCCUGAUCCAGCCAUGCCGCGUUUGUGAAGAAGGUCUUCGGAUUUUAAAGCACUUUAAGUUGGGAGGCGUUACCAACAGAAUAAGCACCGGCUAACUUCGUGCCAGGAGCCGCGGUAAUAC
rnacentral:rRNA from 1 species